CCUACGGGAGGCAGCAGUGAGGAAUAUUGGUCAAUGGACGCAAGUCUGAACCAGCCAUGCCGCGUGCAGGAAGACGGCUCUAUGAGUUGUAAACUGCUUUUGUACGAGGGUAAAUGCCGAUACGUGUAUCGGGUUGAAAGUAUCGUACGAAUAAGGAUCGGCUAACUACGUGCCAGCAGCCGCGGUAAUACGGAGGAGGCAAGCGUUAUCCGGAUUUACUGGGUGUAAAGGGGGCGCAGACGGCAAUGUAAGCUAGGGGUGAAAGCCCGGGGCCCAACCCCGGGACUGCCCUUAGAACUGCAGGGCUAGAGAAUAGGAGGGGCAGGCGGAAUGCAUGGUGUAGCGGUGAAAUGCGUAGAGAUUAGAAAGAACACCGGUGGCGAAGGCAGCCUGCUGGACUGUAACUGACGUUGAGGCCCGAAGGCGUGGGGAGCAAACAGGAUUAGAUACCCGUGUAGUC
rnacentral:rRNA from 1 species